GAUGAAGAACGCAGCGAAAUGCGAUAAGUAGUGUGAAUUGCAGAAUUCAGUGAAUCAUCGAAUCUUUGAACGCACAUUGCGCCCCUUGGUAUUCCAUGGGGCAUGCCUGUUCGAGCGUCAUUUUUACCUUCAAGCUCUGCUUGGUGUUGGGUGUUUGUCUCGCCUCUGCGUGUAGACUCGCCUCAAAACAAUUGGCAGCCGGCGUAUUGAUUUCGGAGCGCAGUACAUCUCGCGCUUUGCACUCAUAACGACGACGUCCAAAAGUACAUUUUUACACUCUUGACCUCGGAUCAGGUAGGGAUACCCGCUGAACUUAAGCAUAUCAAUAAGCGGAGGA
rnacentral:misc_RNA from 1 species